ACGUCGGUCGCGUAACCAUUCAUGUUACCUUGCAGAGUUGCAGAUAACUAUUGACCAUAAAACAGUCUGAUUAUCUGACAUUAUUCGCGCGAAAAUAAUCAACACUAUCAUAAUUUGCACUAUAAUACAUAUUAACCAUUGUUGUGAACUUUAUAGUUGUGUAAAAAAAAUUCUGAUUUAUGUUUUUAUAAUGACGUAUAGU